rnacentral:rRNA from 1 species
AACACAUGCAAGUCGAGGGGCAGCACGUUCUUAGCUUGCUAAGGCCGAUGGCGAUCGGCGCACGGGUGAGUAACACGUAUCCAACCUGCCGUCUACUCUUGGACAGCCUUCUGAAAGGAAGAUUAAUACAAGAUGGCAUCAUGAGUCCGCAUGUUCACAUGAUUAAAGGUAUUCCGGUAGACGAUGGGGAUGCGUUCCAUUAGAUAGUAGGCGGGGUAACGGCCCACCUAGUCUUCGAUGGAUAGGGGUUCUGAGAGGAAGGUCCCCCACAUUGGAACUGAGACACGGUCCAAACUCCUACGGGAGGCAGCAGUGAGGAAUAUUGGUCAAUGGGCGAGAGCCUGAACCAGCCAAGUAGCGUGAAGGAUGACUGCCCUAUGGGUUGUAAACUUCUUUUAUAAAGGAAUAAAGUCGGGUAUGGAUACCCGUUUGCAUGUACUUUAUGAAUAAGGAUCGGCUAACUCCGUGCCAGCAGCCGCGGUAAUACGGAGGAUCCGAGCGUUAUCCGGAUUUAUUGGGUUUAAAGGGAGCGUAGAUGGAUGUUUAAGUCAGUUGUGAAAGUUUGCGGCUCAACCGUAAAAUUGCAGUUGAUACUGGAUAUCUUGAGUGCAGUUGAGGCAGGCGGAAUUCGUGGUGUAGCGGUGAAAUGCUUAGAUAUCACGAAGAGCUCCGAUUGCGAAGGCAGCCUGCUAAGCUGCAACUGACAUUGAGGCUCGAAAGUGUGGGUAUCAAACAGGAUUAGAUACCCUGGUAGUCCACACGGUAAACGAUGAAUACCCGCUGUUUGCGAUAUACAGCAAGCGGCCAAGCGAAAGCGUUAAGUAUUCCACCUGGGGAGUACGCCGGCAACGGUGAAACUCAAAGGAAUUGACGGGGGCCCGCACAAGCGGAGGAACAUGUGGUUUAAUUCGAUGAUACGCGAGGAACCUUACCCGGGCUUAAAUUGCAGAUGAAUUACGGUGAAAGCCGUAAGCCGCAAGGCAUCUGUGAAGGUGCUGCAUGGUUGUCGUCAGCUCGUGCCGUGAGGUGUCGGCUUAAGUGCCAUAACGAGCGCAACCCUUGUUGUCAGUUACUAACAGGUUCCGCUGAGGACUCUGACAAGACUGCCAUCGUAAGAUGUGAGGAAGGUGGGGAUGACGUCAAAUCAGCACGGCCCUUACGUCCGGGGCUACACACGUGUUACAAUGGGGGGUACAGAGGGCCGCUACCACGCGAGUGGAUGCCAAUCCCCAAAACCUCUCUCAGUUCGGACUGGAGUCUGCAACCCGACUCCACGAAGCUGGAUCCGCUAGUAAUCGCGCAUCAGCCACGGCGCGGUGAAUACGUUCCCGGGCCUUGUACACACCGCCCGUCAAGCCAUGGGAGCCGGGGGUACCUGAAGUGCGUAACCGCGAGGAGCGCCCUAGGGUAAAACUGGUGACUGGGGCUAAGUAG